rnacentral:lncRNA from 1 species
AUGAGUGACAAUCCUGAUGGUGUGGGAAAACUGAGGUGGCAAAAUGUCUGGAGCCUCAUCUUGAAGAGCCUUGGAAGGGCCAAAAAGGUUCUUCCUUUUCCAGGUCACUGCCAGGUUUUAGAAGACACAGUUUUUCAGCAUCUGAAGCAGGAAAUCCCAGCUCUUUUCCAUGAGAAGAAGCACAGGGAUGACAGGGCUUCCCCCCAGAACACUCCCGGGGUAAUUGCUGAAGACAUUCCAAGCCACUCUAACGAAGUGCACUGUCUGCCAGUCAUUCUGUUCUCCUUGGAAGACCAUCUGUUGCACUUCAAAUAUGUAAAGAACUGCUGGUGCCAACCAGGGACUGACUGGCACAGGUUUGAACUCUCCACUGCUUGAUAGAUCUGCUUCACAUGGACCAAUUACAACAAUUCCCACCUCUGGAGCUGAAGUCGAAGCCCUUGGUCUUCCCUUCAUACCUCAGGUUGUUGGCAAUGUGUUCAGUCCUACAAUCUCCAUUUUCUCUGAAUAAUUAAGUGGAACAUAAAUGCUUCGAAAAAGUAGGAGAGAGUCUGAAUGGAAAUCAAAGGCUGAAUAAUAUUGUUUUUCAUGUUGCUGUUGUUAAGCUGCAUUUCUUUCCAUUUAUUCUUUGUUUCUAAAAGGCAGCAUCUUCUUUUAAGUUUUUUACAGAGAUUCACCAGAAGGUGCUGUAGUCCAUUGACUGUUAUAUUCAACAGUAUCUUUUAAUGUGAAUGAAAGAGCAAUAGGAAUUCCUGCUUUUUUUUUUUUAAAUGGGUUUAAAAAUAUAAAUAUUCCUUUCAAAAUAAAUACUUUUGACCAAAGUGGAAAAUCA